CACACAAAUCUGAGUGGUGCUUGGUGCUGAUCCCUGAACUCAGCAGGGGCUGGCCCUCGCUUUCCACAGAUUCAAGUUCUACCUGACUGUGAAGGGCCCAGGUGCCAUCUUCCUAACCUCUGCUGGAUGCUGACCAUGGAGGUGCUGCUUGUGAAACCACAGGGAGGAAUAGACCGAUCUUCCUGGGAGAGUCAUGGACCCUCAGAGUAUUGUUCCAUAGAACUUCCUGCGAUGAUGGAAGAGCUCGAUGUCUGCACCAUCCUGUGUACUGGCCGUUAGCCCCAUGCGCCUCGAGCACUUGAAAUGUGUGCACUUUCUGGCUCCUUAACAUGUGCCCACCAUUGUGAUGCCAUUCCUCCAUGAUGCCUUCACCAGAACUGAGGAACGCAAGUGCCAUGCCCUUGAAUUUCCAGGGCCAUGAGCUAAAUCAACUUCUUUUCUUUAUAAACUUAGCCUGCCUGAGGUAUUUCCUUAUAGGCUUUCUAAGAAAAUGCACUAAUACAGAAGCCAAUGGAUAAA